AAUAGAAUGAAAUUCAAAACAGUGCAGCUGUGGCCAUUGAUUGACACAUUAAGAUCAUCCAUUGACUGGGACAAUUUAGGUGAACGUUUGUAUGUAACGACCAAUGCUCACUAUGUACUUUUUAAAGACAUUUAAACUAUGGGGUCACCAAAGGUUCUCAACACCUAAAUAAAGUAAUUCGAAAAAUUAAUCAGAAAUAACACGAUAUUUUGAUUUAUAUCAAUUAUAUAAAGCAAAACACAAAGGUUAUUCCUGAUUAAUUUUUCGAAUUAUUUUAUGAUUAAAGGCGUUAAGAAACCUUUGGUGACCCCACAGUUUAAAUGUCUAUCGUAGGUACGUCGUGAACAGUGGU
rnacentral:lncRNA from 1 species